CAGCAGCCACGGGAAUACGGAGGGUGCAAGCGUUAAUCGGAAUUACUGGGCGUAAAGCGUGCGUAGGCGGUUCGUUAAGUCUGUUGUGAAAGCCCCGGGCUCAACCUGGGAAUGGCAAUGGAUACUGGCGAGCUAGAGUGUGUCAGAGGAUGGUGGAAUUCCCGGUGUAGCGGUGAAAUGCGUAGAUAUCGGAAGGAACACCUGUGGCGAAAGCGGCUCACUGGACCAUUUCUGACGCUGAUGCACGAAAGCUAGGGGAGCAAACAGGAUUAGAUACCCCUGUAGUCCCUGUCUCUUAUAU
rnacentral:rRNA from 1 species